rnacentral:rRNA from 1 species
GCAAGUCGAGGGGUAAGGUCCCGAUUUAUCGGGAUACACGACCGGCGCACGGGUGCGUAACGCGUAUGCAACCUACCCUUAACAGAGGGAUAGCCCCGAGAAAUCGGGAUUAAUACCUCAUAACACUGUGAUAUGGCAUCAUAUUACAGUUGAAACUCCGGUGGUUAAGGAUGGGCAUGCGUGACAUUAGCUAGUUGGUAAGGUAACGGCUUACCAAGGCUACGAUGUCUAGGGGUUCUGAGAGGAUGAUC